AGUGAACGCUGGCGGUAGGCCUAACACAUGCAAGUCGAACGGCAGCACAGUAAGAGCUUGCUCUUACGGGUGGCGAGUGGCGGACGGGUGAGGAAUACAUCGGAAUCUACUUUUUCGAGGGGGCUAACGUAGGGAAACUUACGCUAAUACCGCAUACGACCUACGGGUGAAAGCAGGGGAUCUUCGGACCUUGCGCGAUUGAAUGAGCCGAUGUCGGAUUAGCUAGUUGGCGGGGUAAAGGCCCACCAAGGCGACGAUCCGUAGCUGGUCUGAGAGGAUGAUCAGUCACACUGGAACUGAGACACGGUCCAGACUCCUACGGGAGGCAGCAGUGGGGAAUAUUGGACAAUGGGCGCAAGCCUGAUCCAGCCAUGCCGCGUGGGUGAAGAAGGCCUUCGGAUUGUAAAGCCCUUUUGUUGGGAAAGAAAAGCAGCAGGUUAAUACCCCGCUGUUCUGACGGUACCCAAAGAAUAAGCACCGGCUAACUUCGUG
rnacentral:rRNA from 1 species